GUGGGGAAUUUUGGACAAUGGGCGAAAGCCUGAUCCAGCAACGAUGCGUGGAGGAUGAAGGUUCUCGGAUUGUAAACUCCUUUUAAGGGGGACGAAACAAAUGACGGUACCCCUUGAAUAAGCCACGGCUAACUACGUGCCAGCAGCCGCGGUAAGACGUAGGUGGCGAGCGUUACUCGGAAUUACUAGGCGUAAAGCGCGCGUAGGCGGAAUGUUAAGUCUGUUGUGUAAUCUCCGGGCUCAACCCGGAAACUGCAACAGAAACUGGCGUUCUUGAGUGAGGCAGAGGAAAUCGGAAUUCCCAGUGUAGCAGUGAAAUGCGUAGAUAUUGGGAGGAACACCGGUGGCGAAGGCGGAUUUCUGGGCCUUUACUGACGCUAAAGUGCGAAAGCUAGGGGAGCAAACGGGAUUAGAAACCCUUGUAGUCC
rnacentral:rRNA from 1 species